UAUGGUUUCAGAACAAAAGAGCAAGAUUGGAAGUCCAAGGAGAAGCAGGACAAUUUCAAAAGCCUCAGAGCUAAGUAUGAUAAUCUAGCAUCUCAGUUUAAAACGUUCCAGGAAGAGAACAACUCCUUGCUCUCAAAGUUGCAGAAGCAAACCGUUCUUCCUCAAGGACAUUGUGAUAGAAAAACCACUUAUGAAACCAUGAAAAGCCAAAAAUCUUACCACAUGCAUUGGAACAGAAGUAUUUGAACAAUAACUAUAACACAAACAACUGUAUAGUGAUUGGAAAAAGGUGAUGGAGUACUUCGAAUGACCCAUUUGUUGGAAGGCAGAAGCAACCACAGCAUAUGCCACAUUGAGAAGCAACUAUUGAACCCAAAUGGAUCAUUUGAAACAUCCGACAGAUGGUGCAGUUUUAACUCGGAUGGUAUCUUUGAAUAUCAGUCUUGUAGCAGUUUGCAGGGACAAAGUUUCUGAGGAUAAAUAAAGAUAAGAUGGCCCAUAAUUUCACGACUUGUUACAACCAGUUGUAAAAUUGCCAUUUAGACACAACGGAUAUGAACAAAACUGAGCAACUGCUGCUAGCUGUUUUAGCAAGUACAUUCCUUCCUUAUCUUUGUGCAAUUUACAAAAAGAAUAGAUAUAGGAACUGUCUUACUUUGAAAUGCAUUAGUAGCAUCCAAGAAGUAACGCAGACAGCUCAAUCAGCACUCAGCCUUUUUAGUGAUGCACACACAAUUGCUGUACUUCAUUUAUUUUCAGGGGGGCCUCUUGUUAUGACUUCUAAGCAACAUCUGCUAACUAAGAUCAAUAGUUGAUCAACAAGUUACAAGUAUAUUUUAUAUGAUCUUUCAA